UACGUAGGGACCAAGCGUUGUUCGGAUUUACUGGGCGUAAAGGGCGCGUAGGCGGCAAAUUAAGUCAGCUGUGAAAUCUCCGAGCUUAACUCGGAACUGUCAGCUGAUACUGAUGUGCUAGAGUGCGGAAGGGGCAAUCGGAAUUCUUGGUGUAGCGGUGAAAUGCGUAGAUAUCUGGAGGAACACCGGUGGCGAAGGCGGCGUCCUGGACCAACACUGACACUGAGGAGCGAAAGCCAGGGGAGCAAACGGG
rnacentral:rRNA from 1 species